rnacentral:lncRNA from 1 species
AUCCACAUUCAAUGCAAGAGGUACUGAAUGUGGCAAAUCUGGCAAAAGUCACAGGACGCGAUAUACGUUCCUGUCCCAGGAAUUAGGCAUGUCAGUUCUGUCUGCCUGCCUUGGACUCUACUGUUCUCAAUAAAGACUUUCCUUCCCAGGAUGCACCUGUGCUCAACUUCCUGGACAUGCUGAAUCACGUGAUGCUUCAGCGUUCCGGGUGACAGUGGAAGGGGGACUGUGCUGGCCAGCAUUGCAGUCACCAGCAUAG